rnacentral:rRNA from 1 species
UGGGGAAUAUUGGACAAUGGGCGAAAGCCUGAUCCAGCCAUGCCGCGUGAGUGAUGACGGCCUUCGGGUUGUAAAACUCUUUUGGGUGGGACGAUGAUGACGGUACCACCAGAAUAAGAUCCGGCUAACUUCGUGCCAGCAGCCGCGGUAAUACGAAGGGAUCUAGCGUUGUUCGGAUUUACUGGGCGUAAAGGGCGCGUAGGCGGUCUAGCAAGUAAGGUGUGAAAGCCCUGAGCUUAACUCGGGAACUGCACUUUAAACUACUAGGCUAGAGUAUGGGAGAGGUAAGUGGAAUUUCCAGUGUAGAGGUAAAAUUCGUAGAUAUUGGAAAGAACACCAGUGGCGAAGGCGACUUACUGGACCAUUACUGACGCUGAGGCGCGAAAGCGUGGGGAGCAAA